rnacentral:rRNA from 2 species
AAAUUGAAGAGUUUGAUCAUGGCUCAGAUUGAACGCUGGCGGCAGGCCUAACACAUGCAAGUCGAACGGUAACAGGAAGCAGCUUGCUGCUUUGCUGACGAGUGGCGGACGGGUGAGUAAUGUCUGGGAAACUGCCUGAUGGAGGGGGAUAACUACUGGAAACGGUAGCUAAUACCGCAUAAUGUCGCAAGACCAAAGAGGGGGACCUUCGGGCCUCUUGCCAUCGGAUGUGCCCAGAUGGGAUUAGCUGGUAGGUGGGGUAA